AGAGUUAAACAGUGCGUGAAAUUGUUGAAAGGGAAACGUUUGACACCAGUCAUGCGGGUGGAAAAUCAGUCUCUUGUAGUGGGGAAGCAUUUUGGUUCAGACCGCAAGGCUGGCCAAGGUGUUCUCUCUAUUGCGAGUGAUGCACUUUUUCAUUUGCAGGCCAACAUCAGUUUCUUCUGCUGGACAAAACCCUAAGAGAAGGUAGCAGCUUAGGCUGUGUUAUAGCUCUGGGGCGAUACAGUGGUGGGGACUGAGGUUUUCGCAGUGUGUGCUCUCGGGCAAGGCCGACUGGGUGCUAUGGAGUGGUUCAGUGUACAAUGCAUGCAUUUUGCGCUGUGUCCGCUCUGUACUCGCUCAGCCCGGUUCUUCCACGCUUAGGAUGUUGACAUAAUGGUUUUAAACGACC
rnacentral:rRNA from 1 species